rnacentral:rRNA from 1 species
UGCGGUUAAAAAGCUCGUAGUUGGAUUUCUGUUGAGGACAGCCGGUCCGUACUUUGUACGUGUAUCUGGUUUGGCCUUGGCAUCCUCAUAGAGUACGCCGCUGCGCUUGAUUGCGUGGCGCGGAAUCUAUGACUUUUACUUUGAGGAAAUUAGAGUGUUCACGGCAGGCUUUCGCCAUGAAUAUAUUAGCAUGGAAUAAUAAUAUAGGACGUCAAUCCUAUUUUGUUGGUUUCUAGGAAUGACGUAAUGAUUAAUAGGGUCAAUUGGGGGCAUUCGUAUUAACACGUCAGAGGUGAAAUUCUUGGAUUGUGUUACGACGAACUACUGCGAAAGCAUUUGCCAAGGAUGUUUUCAUUGAUCAAGAACGAAAGUAUGGGGAUCGAAGAUGAUUAGAUACCGUCGUAGUCUAUACCAUAAACUAUGCCAACUAGAGAUUGGAGGUCGUUCUUUUUAUGACUCCUUCAGCACCUUACGAGAAAUCAAAGUCUUUGGGUUCCGGGGGGAGUAUGGUCGCAAGGCUGAAACUUAAAGGAAUUGACGGAAGGGCACCACCAGGAGUGGAGC